rnacentral:rRNA from 1 species
UACGAAGGGGGCUAGCGUUGCUCGGAAUCACUGGGCGUAAAGGGUGCGUAGGCGGGUCUUUAAGUCAGGGGUGAAAUCCUGGAGCUCAACUCCAGAACUGCCUUUGAUACUGAAGAUCUUGAGUUCGGGAGAGGUGAGUGGAACUGCGAGUGUAGAGGUGAAAUUCGUAGAUAUUCGGAAGAACACCAGUGGCGAAGGCGACUCACUGGACAUGUAUUGACGCUGAGGUACGAAAGCGUGGGGAGCAAACAGG